rnacentral:rRNA from 1 species
GUGUCAGCCGCCGCGGUAAUACGUAGGUGGCAAGCGUUGUCCGGAUUUACUGGGCGUAAAGGAUGUGUAGGCGGAUAUUUAAGUGAGAUGUGAAAUCCACGGGCUUAACUUGGGGGCUGCAUUUCAAACUGGAUGUCUAGAGUGCAGGAGAGGAAAGCAGAAUUCCUAGUGUAGCGGCUAAAUGCGUAUAGUUUAGGCAGACUACCAGUGGCGAAGGCGUCUUUCUGGACUGUA